rnacentral:rRNA from 1 species
AAGAGGGGGGCGCCGACGCUGGUGUUCAAGCUCGACUUCGCCAUGGCCUUCGACUCCAUUGCCUGGCCUAGUCUUCGCCGGAUCAUGGAGGUGAGGGGGUUCCCUGCUGUGUGGUGUGACUCGAUGGACCUCAUCCUCUCGUCCUCCACUACGGCGGUCCUCCUUAACGGGGUGCCCGGGUGCCGGUUCGCCGUCCGCAAGGGGCUGCGCCAGGGCGACCCCAUAUCCCCGUACCUCUUCCUCCUGGUCGCCGUACCUCUUCCUCCUGGUCGCCGAUGUGCUUCAGCGCAUGAUCCGCUCCGACGACGGACUGCAGCACCCCCUGGUCGAUGGCGCGCCCCCGGUGGUGCUGCAGUAUGCUGA